rnacentral:rRNA from 1 species
GGAGGUUACUGCUAUCGGUGUUCGCCUAACCCAUGCGAGUCAUAUGUUCUUCGUGAACAUGGCGUACUGCUCAGUAACACGUGAAUAACCUGCCCUUGGGACCGGCAUAACCCCGGGAAACUGGGGAUAAUUCCGGAUACCGCAUAUAUGCUGGAAUGCUUUAUGCGUGAAAUGGAUUCGUCUGCCCAAGGAUGGAUCUGCGGCCUAUCAGGUAGUAGUGGGUGUAAUGUACCUACUACCCUACAACGGGUACGGGUUGUGAGAGCAAGAGCCCGGAAAUGGAUUCUGAAACAUGAAUCCAGGCCCUACGGGGCGCACCAGGCGCGAAAACUUUACAAUGCGGGAAACCGUGAUAAGGGGACACCGAGUGCCAGCAACAUUUGUUGGCUGUCCAGGUGUGUAAACUACACCUGUUAGCAAGGGCCGGGCAAAACCGGUGC